rnacentral:rRNA from 1 species
GCGGAUGAGAGGAGCUUGCUCCUUGAUUUAGCGGCGGACGUUUGAGUAAUGCCUAGGAAUCUGCCUGGUAGUGGGGGAUAACGUUCCGAAAGGAACGCUAAUACCGCAUACGUCCUACGGGAGAAAGCAGGGGACCUUCGGGCCUUGCGCUAUCAGAUGAGCCUAGGUCGGAUUAGCUAGUUGGUGAGGUAAUGGCUCACCAAGGCGACGAUCCGUAACUGGUCUGAGAGGAUGAUCAGUCACACUGGAACUGAGACACGGUCCAGACUCCUACGGGAGGCAGCAGUGGGGAAUAUUGGACAAUGGGCGAAAGCCUGAUCCAGCCAUGCCGCGUGUGUGAAGAAGGUCUUCGGAUUGUAAAGCACUUUAAGUUGGGAGGAAGGGCAUUAACCUAAUACGUUAGUGUUUUGACGUUACCGACAGAAUAAGCACCGGCUAACUUCGUGCCAGCAGCCGCGGUAAUACGAAGGGUGCAAGCGUUAAUCGGAAUUACUGGGCGUAAAGCGCGCGUAGGUGGUUCGUUAAGUUGGAUGUGAAAGCCCCGGGCUCAACCUGGGAACUGCAUCCAAAACUGGCGAGCUAGAGUACGGUAGAGGGUGGUGGAAUUUCCUGUGUAGCGGUGAAAUGCGUAGAUAUAGGAAGGAACACCAGUGGCG